ACCAUUCUUAAGUCACUGGUAUAUGAGUAUUUGUGCUCCUCUGGUAGAAAUUCCAAACAAAUUCUCAAGUCCAUUCGUAGGAGAAUAUAGGGUGGUCAAGCUUCCAAGACUCCAGGCAUAUUGGCAGUCUGC
rnacentral:snRNA from 1 species